UCUGUGGAGACCGAGAGGUUAAGGUGUUGGACUCAAAAUCCAAUGGGGUUUCCCUGCGCAGGUUUGAAUCCUGCUCACAGCA